rnacentral:rRNA from 1 species
CGCUCGACACCUACGGGAGCAGCAGUGGGGAAUAUUGCACAAUGGGGGAAACCCUGAUGCAGCGACGCCGCGUGAAGGAAGAAGUAUUUCGGUAUGUAAACUUCUAUCAGCAGGGAAGAAACUGACGGUACCUGACUAAGAAGCACCGGCUAAAUACGUGCCAGCAGCCGCGGUAAUCUGAGCGGGCUGGCAAGGC